GAAUCUUGCGCAAUGGGCGAAAGCCUGACGCAGCAACGCCGCGUGUGUGAAGAAGGCUUUCGGGUCGUAAAGCACUGUCGGGCGGGAAGAGUGCCUGGGCUAGACCCAGGAGAGACGGUACCUACCAAGGAAGAACCGGCUAACGCCGUGCCAGCAGCCGCGGUAAUACGGAGGGUGCAAGCGUUAUUCGGAAUCAUUGGGCGUAAAGCGCGCGCAGGCGGCCAUGCAAGUCUGACGUGAAAUCCCGGGGCUCAACCUCUGAACUGCGUUGGAAACCGUAUGGCUUGAGUUUGGGAGAGGUUCGUGGAAUUCCAGGUGUAGGGGUGAAAUCCGUAGAGAUCUGGAGGAACACCAGUGGCGAAGGCGACGAACUGGACCAAUACUGACGCUGAGGCGCGAAAGCGUGGGGAGCAAACAGG
rnacentral:rRNA from 1 species